ensembl:lncRNA
AAGCACUGGCAUAGGCUCCCCAGGGAGGUGGUUGAGUCACCACCCCUGGAUGUGUUUAAAAACUGUUUGGAUGUGGUGCUCAGGGACAUGAUUUAGCUUAGGGUUGUUAGAGUUACAGAUUCUUUCAAAAGUGUCCUAUAAUCUUUUAAUAGCCAAAUUUACUUUUAAAUUUUUAAAUAUCUUCAGGUAAAUUAUCCUAAUGUUAGACUUUCAUGGAGUAAAUUAACUCUGAUAUCAAAGAAAAAAACACUAAAUGCAUGUAUGCUUUUCAGUUCUGGGUUUUGCUUCAAAUAAGGGGUGUGUUUUUUACUUUCCCUAUUUGUGCUUUAAAGUAAACCUUUCAAAGUAGCUUGCUUCAGUUAUAAAACUAUCAUUAUGAUAUGGUUAUCUAUGGUAGUGUUGAAAAUCUAUGGUAAUCUUUCUCCUGCUGGGAAAGACAAGUCAAAAAAAUUAUUGAACUAAAUGUAGCAUAUAAUACUUCUCAUCAUUUUCAUAUCAUCAAAGUUUUACUUGAAAAGGGUGAUACUGAAAGUGACAAGUAUAAAAUGGCUAAUGAGAGAAGAGUUCAUCUGUCCAACAAGUAUGCAGAUCAUUCACAUGCUGCAGAGAACUUACAAAAUAUGUCAGUACAGGUUAAAUGAAAAUGACUGAUAAUAGAAUUAUUGAAGAUCUUUAAGACUGAUAAUGCUAGAUGUGCUUAUUGUUUUUAACACUAAUCCUGUUCAGAGUUAAAUCUGGUGAGAAAAAUAAAUCUAUAUAAUGUUAAAUUGAAUUACAUCUAAAUAAACUUAGGUUUUUAUGUUAUACACUCUUUCUUGAAUUAUUAGCCUGGUCAGACUGAUAGGUCUUUGAAAAAAAAAUUGUUACUUCAAAGAUAACCAUUUUUACUUCUGCCAUGUGGUUGUAAGCAUUUGAAAAAUCUAUUUUGCUUUCAGUAAAAUUGACAAGGCUUGCUGUAAAUCUUACCAUAUUCUUUAGCGCUCUUUUAAUCAUAAAUGCAACAACAGCAAAGUAUGUUAGUACCACUUAGCUGAAAAUGGCUUGAUGUUGACAAAACUUCUGCUUGUAGUAAUUGCUAAAAAUAUGCAUAUUAUAUGCAAUCCGAUGGCAUAAAACAUUCACUGAGAGAAUGAAAAGUGAUCUGCUUAUUCUUUUUCACUUCCUUUUUGAAGACUAGUACGUAGUAGUUGGUUUCCCUUAGAUUCCUAUUACAACUUUUGAUUUCAUACUAUUACUACUUUAAUAUAAAUAACCCUUGUUACAGCUGCACCUCUGGCUCCUCCAACUAAGUACCAUUUCAACACCUUGUUAAUUAUUUUUGCAAAUAAGCUAUAAACAGAAGAGUUUAUAUUGAUGAUUCACUGCAUUAAAUGAGUACCCUGGUUAACUUUUCAGGUUUUUACUUUAAGACAGAAGGAGAAAAUUGAUCAAUCAUGUUUCCAGAACAGAUAUGACUGACGUGACUAGCUAAACCAAACUGUGAUUGUAUUCUUGCUCUGUACUUUUUCACAGCCUUUUAAAAGUGGAUGUCUAGAGUGUAUUGUGCCAUACUCCAAAUUAGCUGUCAGGCACUCGCACUAAGUACUGAACUAGUAGAGAGCUCAUUCUGAUAUUACCACAACUGAACCACAAGUAUUUCAUGGUUAUGUACUGAGAUACAAUAGUUUUAAAGAAACGUAAGUGGUGAAAUGGGUACAAAACUGCUCCCAUGGGAAAAUCUGAAGAGAUGGACUUUUCCAUAGAAAUAAGAAUUGUGCUGAGUGUUUUAAUAUUAUUGUCAAGAGCUCCAUAAAGCAAUGCAGAAUUCAUUUGUAAAUCAUACCAGGGUAUACAGAAUACACAACCUAGAAUGAUAC